UGUUCUAGCUUUAAAUGGGGUUGUAACCAUAUAGGAGAAUAAGAAGAAAUGAUUUCAUUUUAUACUUUGAAAUGCAUUUCUUCUCCCCAGUGUUUCCUAUUUCUAAUAAUGCAAUGAAAAACUAUCACUUGAAGGAAGAUAUAUUGUUACAUUUACUCACAAAAGGACACUAAAGUUCAUUAAAUUUAAAUAAAUCCAAUGGCCAAAACACUGUGAAAGAAAAAAUGAAAUAAAGGAAGAAAUACUUGAGUGAGACCCCAGGCCACUCAAUGAGCUUGUGGAGGUUACAUAUUUCUCUCUUGAAUCUUGCAUCCAAUUUAAAGUUUUAAAAGGAUCCCUUCUUCCUAAAGUUACCAUGUUCUUAUUUCUCCUUCAUGUUGCCUGCCCGAGUUCCACAUACAGUCAUAAGUGGAGAACAGUAGCCAUACAUGAUGAAAACUACAUUUUUGUUUUGGUUUUGGUUUUAGAGUUCUGCAGAAAGUUCACAUUAGUGUCUGGUCAUUCCCAACUGUUUAUUUCACAUCAUUUUCACUAAGUUCUUUCUGUCUGUAUUACUGGGUUAAUGGGAUUGACUGAGCUAUAGUAUUUUGAUUAAUUCAAGUCUUUUUAGAGCAGAUAACUUUUGACUCUGUUGAUGCCAGACCAUAUUGAGUUUUGAUAUCAGAACAUAGUGAGCUAAUCUACAUUGAGAAAUGCACAUGUAAUUACUGGUCAUCUGGGAAAUACUGAAUCUUAUGUUGACCAAACAUUGGUUUUUCUAGAAGGUUUUAGUUUUGUGUCUACCAGAAUUGCAUUCCAAAAUUUGGUGCAGAGGAAACAAUCUGUACUGCGGCUUCCUGCUUUGUGAUCAUAAAGACAUGCAUUUGGCAAAGCUCCCAGGCUUUGCUUUGCAGCCUGAUUCUGCCAUGUUGAUGAAUACCAUUUCACUCUUCCUUUGGCUGCCAGCAAAAGCAAGAUGAUACUUGGAAAGUAGGGAAGGCAGAAUCUUAAUCAAGAGUAGCCUUAAAGAAGCCAUGAAACUAUAUAUUUUAUUAAAUUUCCCUAUCUUAAAAUCUCUUAAACAUUUUUUAUGAUAAAAUGGGAUGUGGACCUGAAGCAUUUCUACUUCAUACAACAUGACUGAUGACAACGUGGGCACAGUGGCCAUGCCAUUUUUCAUUUGAAGGAAGAUCUGCGCUGCAACUAUGUUCACUGAAGCAUUAUUCAUAAUAGCCAGAAUCUGGAAACAACGUAGAAGCCCCUCAACCGAAGAAUGGAUAAAGAAAAUGUGGUACAUAUACAUAAUGGAGUACUACUCAGCAG